rnacentral:rRNA from 1 species
GAUGAACGCUGGCGGCGUGCCUAAUACAUGCAAGUCGAGCGAACGGCCGAGUAGCUUGCUUUUCUGAUGUUAGCGGCGGACGGGUUAGUAACACGUUGAUAACCUACCUAUAAGACUGGGAUAACUUCGUUAAACUGGAGCUAAUACCGGAUAAUAUUUUGAUCCUCUUGUUUCAAAAUUCAAAGACUAUCUUUCUGCCACUUAUUGAUUAAUCCGCUCUGAGUUAACUAGUUGGUAAGGUAACGGAUUACCAAGGCAAUGAUGUAUAGCAGAACUGAGAGGAUGAUCAGCAACACGGGAAAGAAGAUGAGGACCAGAAACGGAAGGGAGACAGGAGUAGGACAUCUACCGCAAGGGGCAAAAGGGAAACGGAGGAAAGGCGCGAGAGUGAGGAAGAGCUUCGGAGCGUAAAACAUUGUGACUAUGGAAGAACAUAGGUGUAAGUAAGUGGGCAAAACUUGACGGUACCUAAUCAGAAAGCACCGGCUAACUACGUG